UACGUAGGGGGCGAGCGUUGUCCGGAGUUACUGGGCGUAAAGGGCACGCAGGCGGUCAUGUAAGUCUGUUCUGACAGCUCCUGGCUCAACCGGGAGAGGCGAACGGAAACUGUAUGACUUGAGGACUUCAGGGGGACACGGAAUUCCGGGUGGAGUGGUGAAAUGCGUAGAGAUCCGGAGGAACACCAAAGGCGAAGGCAGUGUCCUGGGAAGUACCUGACGCUCAGGUGCGAAAGCGUGGGUAGCAAACAGG
rnacentral:rRNA from 1 species